AACGCUGGCGGCGUGCUUAACACAUGCAAGUCGAACGGAGUGGUCCUCCCGAAGACCUGACGAGCUUGCUCUGAUGGAAUUCAUUUGGAUCACUUAGUGGCGGACGGGUGAGUAACGCGUGGGUAACCUGCCUCACACUGGGGGAUAGCAGUUGGAAACGACUGAUAAUACCGCAUAAGCGCACAGUAUCGCAUGAUAAAGUGUGAAAAACUCCGGUGGUGUGAGAUGGACCCGCGUCUGAUUAGCUAGUUGGUGAGGUAACGGCCCACCAAGGCGACGAUCAGUAGCCGGCCUGAGAGGGUGUACGGCCACAUUGGGACUGAGACACGGCCCAAACUCCUACGGGAGGCAGCAGUGGGGAAUAUUGGACAAUGGGGGCAACCCUGAUCCAGCGACGCCGCGUGAGUGAAGAAGUAUCUCGGUAUGUAAAGCUCUAUCAGCAGGGAAGAUAAUGACGGUACCUGACUAAGAAGCACCGGCUAAAUACGUGCC
rnacentral:rRNA from 1 species